rnacentral:lncRNA from 1 species
AAAUACAAAAAAUACAUGAACUAAAUCAUAAAAAUACAAAACAACUGCCAUAAAAGCGCAAUGAACUUUAUGCAUAUGCAUAAAUUUCUAACAGCUAUACAGCUGUAACAUUUUACCAUAUGUUUGUUUAGAAUUAUAUUACAACUGAAUAACUAAAGAGCCUAACAAAUAAAUUACACAAAAACUAGAAAAAAAAUAACUAACUAACAUUAUCAGGCAAAACUAUCCAAAACACCCUGCAAAAAAAUACCAGAAGCUGACAUUAGCGUGAAGCAAGACAUCACAAAUAAAAAUGAAAUAACAUCAUCAAUCAGUUGGAAAUACAUCACAGUAAAAUAACCGCUAGGAUUACAAGGAAUAUAACACUGAUAAAGAACCGCUAGGAUUUACAGUGAUGGCGUGCUACAAAUCCCACUAGCAUUUGCAAAAUUAUAAUUACACUGACAAGAUAUAGAAAUUACAGUGACAAAACCACUACGAAUUACAGGAUUAAUUCAAAAUAAUUCACUAAAAGAAAGCCUCUAGGGAUUGCACUAGAAAAUCACUCUAAAAAGGUGAAGUAAAAAAACACUAAGAUUUGCACUAAGAAAUACAGUGUAUAUCCAGUAAAAUGUACAGUGACAAACCAGUAAGAUUACAGUAUAAAUCCACUAAGAUUACAGUGUAAAUCAACAAAGAAUUACAGUGAGAAUCAACAAGGAAUGACAGUGCAAAUUAACAAAGAGUUUCAGUACAUAUACAGUGUAAAUCAACAAAGAAUUACUGUGUACAAAUAUAAAAUUACAGUACUAAUUACACUAAGAUUUACAGUGUCGAAAUUAAACGGUAAACUAGCAUCAACACUUACGGGCUAUAAUGGAGAUCACAAUGCAAAUCCACUAGGAAUUACACUGUAAAAACCAAAAAAAACAAGGAAUUACAGUACUAAUUACACUGUAAAACCAAUAAAAAUUAUACUGAUAAACCAAUAUGAAUUACACUGAUUAACCAAUAGGGGUUACACUGUAAUUACACUGAAAACCAAAUAGGAAUUAUAUUCUCACCCAACUGCAUAUCCAAUGGCAAUUACAGUGCAAAUCCAAUGAAAAUUACAGUGUAAACCCAAAAUGAGAAGUACAGUGUAAAUCCACUAGGAAUUACACACAGGAAUUACACUGUAAAUCCAUUGAGAAUUACAGCCACAAUCCCAAGGCGACCCAGCAUGCCAACCAUACAUACACACGGUGACAGUAAAAAUGGCCCAGGGGAAAAUUAACACAUAGAUACUAACAAUGGAGAGCAGGGCCUGAACGAUGAUCUGCUAUGUUCGAAUUGCUCAAAUACCGCACACAAAAUCAAACAACCAGCCGAAUUCAAACAAUUAACCACAAUGCCCAUCUCAUAGAUUGAUAGAUCUCACAAAUUACAGGAGGAAUUUGGGUGUGUGAGAGAUAGAGUACAUGAGAGGAUGGAGAGGAAAGUUGGGAUAGGUACAGAGAACAGGGGGAAAGGUUCAGACUAGACUCACGCAUACAUCUCACACACGGCAUGCCAUGCUAAAAAAUACAGAGCACACACACACCCUGUCGCGUGGGUACACCAGUCAGCCUACCACACCACACUCAAGGUACACCUCUCUGUAAACCAUCAAAUUGACUGUUGUGUGCUGCACCAUCUCCUCGGUAAUCAGCUUCAGGCGACUCUGUUUUCGCACUCGGCAAAUCAAUCCCAGAAACCAUAAAUCGAUUGAAGGCGUGACACACAUGCAGAUCAAUGAAACUAACAACCAACCAGAAACCCUAAUCAAAAUUUGCAUGACAGACGAGAUUCAAACACAGGAACGGCGUAACCUCACACAUCUACACAAGAAGCUGCAGGACAUUAACACAAGCAAACAAAUCUGACCGAGAAAAACACUACGCACUAGCAUACAGAGCUGAGGAUCAAAGCAACAGGGGGGAACAUACCGAAUCGAACAAAACCGACGAGCGGCGAAAUAAUGGUGCCAAGGUGGAUGCGGGGCGGAGAGAUGCUGCAGGUCUUCGGCUGGAGAAACAACGACGAGGCGGAGGGAGCGAGGCAGUAGGAGGGAGAGCGCCGACGAGUCACCACCAACCAACGAGCGGCGAGGGGGAGGGGGAGCUCCAAAUCGCCAUGGAUAUCUCUCGCAGUUGCCUUCUGGGUUACGUGUUCGAAAUGAAAAGGGGAUCGAGCGGCGCGGGGAAGAGACAGAGGAAGGAAAGAAACAAAAACCACCGACGCGCGGCAGCGAGCGGGGGUCUGGAAAAUACAAG